rnacentral:rRNA from 1 species
UAGGGAAUCUUCGGCAAUGGACGAAAGUCUGACCGAGCAACGCCGCGUGAGUGAAGAAGGUUUUCGGAUCGUAAAACUCUGUUGUUAGAGAAGAACAAGGACGUUAGUAACUGAACGUCCCCUGACGGUAUCUAACCAGAAAGCCACGGCUAACUACGGGCCAGCAGCCGCGGUAAUACGUAGGUGGCAAGCGUUGUCCGGAUUUAUUGGGCGUAAAGCGAGCGCAGGCGGUUUCUUAAGUCUGAUGUGAAAGCCCCCGGCUCAACCGGGGAAGGUCAUUGGAAACUGGGAGACUUGAGUGCAGAAGAGGAGAGUGGAAUUCCAUGUGUAGCGGUGAAAUGCGUAGAUAUAUGGAGGAACACCAGUGGCGAAGGCGGCUCUCUGGUCUGUAACUGACGCUGAGGCUCGAAAGCGUGGGGAGCAAACAGG